ensembl:snoRNA SNORD36 Small nucleolar RNA SNORD36
GUGCAAUGAUGUCUUGAAUUUCUUCACCUGAACUCUUUUUGAAGAAUACAUCUUUUCAAAACUGAGCAUU